rnacentral:rRNA from 1 species
UCGUAACAAGGUUUCCGUAGGUGAACCUGCGGAAGGAUCAUUAAAGAUUGGCCGAGAGGCCUUAUCUCUAUAUCCCUCACCUCUGUGAACUGUGGACCCUCGGGUCUAUCUAUACAAACAUCAGUGUAAUGAACGUAAAGUAACAUUAACAAAACAAAACUUUCAACAACGGAUCUCUUGGCUCUCGCAUCGAUGAAGAACGCAGCGAAAUGCGAUAAGUAAUGUGAAUUGCAGAAUUCAGUGAAUCAUCGAAUCUUUGAACGCACCUUGCGCCUCUUGGUAUUCCGAGAGGCAUGCCUGUUUGAGUGUCAUGAAAUCUCAAUCCCCCCGGGUUUAUGAUCUGGGCUGGGACUUGGACUUGGGCGUCCUGCCGGUAACACGGCUCGCCUCAAAUGACUUAGUGGAUCUCUCAGCAUCCGUGGCAGACGUAAUAAGUUUCGUCUCGUCCCUUGCCGAUGAGUCUGCUCAUAACCCGCCAUCGCGCACUUUUAGACUCUGACCUCAAAUCAGGUAGGACUACCCGCUGAACUUAAGCAUAUCAAUAA